CCUAAAUCACAUUUCUUGAGAAAGAAAAAGAAACCCUAAAUCACAUUCUACGAUUUCUAGGUAUCAAAUCCAUCGAGAUCGAUUCAUAUUCCUCCAAAUCUCGAACUGCUUGGUCGAGUUUCAGGAAUUUGUAAUUUGUAAGCCUUUCUGUUAAACCCUCUAACCCUUCGUUCAUCAAACUUGGAAAUGAGUAAGAAGAAGAGAAGGAAAAAGAACCAACAAUGGUGUUUCAUAAUAAUUUGGUAUGUGCGGGAUUACAGGGUUUAUAAAAAAGCUACCUUGUCUAUUGCCUGUGGGAUAUUUAGGGACAAGAAAGCUAAACCGAAAAGACGUCAGUACACAUCCCGCAAUACAAAUGAAAAGCUUUCUUGUGAAAUGUUGGACUACUAAAAAGAAUCGGGUACUUUCUGAUCGCAUUAUCAAAAGUAAAAGCCACCAGAAAGCCAUGCACACAAUGGUUUAAAGGUUGUGCCAGAUGUAUGUGGUUCACAGACGAAGAAGCUCCAUGCUAUACUGUCCUACCAAGGGAAGAGUUAUCCAAUGAAGAAGGAUUUACAGUGUGAAACAGAGGAGUUACUACAUUUUUACUUAGGCCUGAUGCUAGUUAUUGUGAAGUUUGGUUGAUAAUCAAGAAAGAGAAUCUGGAAGCAUGUACACAGAUUGGGAUAUACUUCCUCGUCUCCAUUCAAGACCUCACUGCGAAAAAGCUGAAAAACUUGGAGGAGAGGGAGUCUAUCGAUGAUCCUAAGGAUGUUAAACCUGAGGGAUGUGUCUCCAUUCCAGCCAAAGUUCCUGCCCGAAAGCUAAAGAGCCUGACUGGGAUGACGAAGAAGAUGGUAUAUGGAGAGUACCUAAGAUACCUAAUCUUACAAAGGACCAUGGAAGCUUAAGAAAAUUAAGAACCCCAAUUACAAAGGGGGUAGUUGAAGACUCAGUGGAUUGAUUACCCAGGUAUAUUGCCA